GAAGUGCGAUAAGCAAUGCGAAUUGCAGAAUUCCGCGAAUCAUCAGAUCUUUGAACGCAAAUGGCGCCAGAGGGAUAUCCUUCUGGCAUGUCUGUUUCAGUGUCUGAGAGGUUUCACACUAAUCUUAAUGUGAUUGAAUUCGAGUUAGUUAGUUUAAUUACUAGCUCUCUCUCUUUUCUCUCAUGAAAGAUGCGCGAGGGGAUCUUUCGGUCCAAUGAAGUGGUCACAUCACUCGAAUGUGAUUUCAUUGGAAGCACCGAAUUAUCAUUUAACAACUCGCGGUAUCAUUAAACUAAUAAAAAAGUGAUACUUUUUGGUAUCAUUUUUUUUCUCUCUACACCCUGCAUCUGAGAUAGGCAAGAUCACCCGCUGAACUUAAGC
rnacentral:misc_RNA from 1 species